UGGCUUUGGACGUGGGGGCUUUUGCGGGCUUUCGUUGCAGAGUCUGCUCCCCUGAAAUGCAUCAGUGGUGUCUGGAGCGGAAACCGCUUGGUGUGAUAACAUUCAUCUACGCCUUUGGUAUGCCGCGCAUGUGCUGCUUCCAACGCACGAUUCUUGACAAACUUGACCUCAAAUCAGGUAGGACUACCCGCUGAACUUAA
rnacentral:misc_RNA from 1 species